GAAAUUGGAGGGAAAUUAGGGGGCGAAUGAUGUCUGCUAGUACUUGAAAUAUUAUCUGAGUCCAUUUUCAAAUUGGUCCUGACAAGAACUGUAUUUACUAUAUAUACUAUAUUUAGAUAAAACAAUAACAAGAUCGCAAAUCCCUAUUUGUUUACAAUUUAUACAAUAGACAGCCUAAGUCUGACGUCACAGAGACGGGCGGAGGUUAUAACGACUCCAAACAAUUCAUUGAUAAUGGAUGGUAAAUGCUCAUAAGCAAUUUUUCAUUUAGUGUUUUCGUGGUUUAUGUGAUAGAAUAAGACUUGUCAGUUGAAUAUAUUGUUGAAGGAACGUACUAUUUAAGAGGUUUUUAUUAGUUUUUCACCAGAUCCUUUUGUUGUUAAGAAAAUAAUGGCUUUUAAAUAUGUCCUAAAACUUUCCAGCACCAGUGCUUGUAUAGAAUACACAACAAAAUUAUAAAAAGGGGUGAAAACGCCUAGAAUCCAGUCAUGUGAAGAAAAUGGACGUUGAUUCUGAUUUGCUGGUAAUCAGAGGGGAAGUAUUUGCUAGUAUGAAAGACAGAAGCUACAAGGUAUCUAUGACUUUGAUAAGGUAAUAAGGAAUUACAUUCAAUCACAUUGCGGCGUUGGCACUUUUUGGGCAUUAUAAUAUAUCUGUAACAGAUAAAGCGUGUGCAUGGAAGGCACUACUUAAACUGAAAGUUGGGCCAGUGAAAUUUGCAGAAGAAUUUUACCCACCAAAGCUCUAUACACCUCUUGAAGGUGGGGUACCAAAAGCAUCAAUCAACAGAUUGAAGAAAGGGCUACACAGCUUUGGAAAUACUGUUGGUUUUACCUGUCUAUUGAAUGAGGAAUCAAUAAAUUUGCUGGAAAAUGGAUUUCCAGUAAUUGAAGAAAUAAUUUCUUCUAAGGACUUUUUGGAGGCCACUGUGUUCAAAGAAAAAUGUGCUGUUGAUGAUCAGCUAAUAAAAUAAAUAUCUGUCACCUCUACUGGCCAGGUAUCAAAUGAAAAAUGGUACCUUGAAAGAACAUUUAGAUUAACUGCUAGCAGCUUCGGUGCUAUUAUUGCAGCGUGCAGGAGUGCAAACAGAUUCUCAGUGAGUUUGUUCAACACACUCUUAGGCGAGUAAUAAAUCAUAAAUUUAUUACAUAGUUUAGUCAUACAUGUUAUCAAUAAUUUGCUUAUUGAGCCUCUAAGAUUGAUUUUUUAAAAAGUAGUCUUUUCAAAAAUGGUAUUUUAUGUAGCUUUUCCUUACUUUAGUUUAAUUUGACAUACAUUUUUUAUUAUAAUCAAUUCAUCAUUUUUCCAGGUGAAUACAAUUUGGAUGGUAUCAAAGCAAUCCAGUGGGGUAGAACUCAUGAAAAAUGCUCAUUUGAAGCAGAUUUAUAAUUUAAAUGUUCGGCCAACUGUACGGUAGUAUGGCUUACAAAUUCAGGACUUCUUGGUGCUAGCCCUGUUGGAAUAAUUGAUGAAGAAGAAAAGCCAUUGUAAAAGUGAAAUGCCCAUAUUCUUUCAGAAAUGAUAAGUUGUCCAAAAAAUUGAGGAAUUUUAAAAAAUAUAUAGUUUUUUAUGACAAUGAGGGUAACUUGAUCAUAAAUACAAGUCACAAUUAUUAUCACCAAAUUCAAGGAGCUUUACAUAUUUUAAAAAAGAAAAAAUGUUACUUAUGUAUUUAUACCUUGAAGGAAACUGUUGUGACAAUUGUAGAUUUUGACGAUUCAUGGAAAGAAAACAUUUCACUCUUGGAAAAUUUCUAUAUAGAACAAUACUUACCAAAGUUGUUAGACAAUUAAAUUAAAAUUUUUGACAUGUUUUUCAAUGUGAUUUUAGGUUAUUCUACAGUGUAAGGAGAUAGUUGGACAAAUCUUUACUAUUUUUUUAGACUGAAACGCCACUCUAUACAAAUUUUUGUUCAGGAAAUUAUGUUUUUUAAUAUAAAUGUACAAUGCUAUUUUGUCAAUAAAGAUUUUUAAAACAAA